rnacentral:rRNA from 1 species
AUUGAACGCUGGCGGCAGGCCUAACACAUGCAAGUCGAACGAGUGGCGGACGGGUGAGUAAUGUCUGGGAAACUGCCUGCUGGCGGGGAAUCCCUACUGAAUACGGUAGCUAAUACCGCAUACCAUCAGAUGUUCCCAGCUGGGAUUAGCUAGUUGGUGGGGUAACGGCUCACCAAGGCGACGAUCCCUAGCUGGUCUGAGAGGAUGACCUGCAACACUGGAAGUGAGACACGGUCCAGACUCCUACGGGAGGCAGCAGUGGGGAAUAGUGCACAAUGGGCGCAAGCCUGAUGCAGCCAUGCAGCGUGUAUGAAGAAGGCCUUCGGGUUGUAAAGUACUUUCAGCGGGGAGGCGUUACCCGCAGCAGAAGCACCGGCUAACUCCGUGCCAGCAGCCGCGGUAAUAC